rnacentral:rRNA from 1 species
GAGUUUGAUCGUGGCUCAGAUUGAACGCUGGCGGCAUGCCUUACACAUGCAAGUCGAACGGUAACAGGUCUUCGGAUGCUGACGAGUGGCGAACGGGUGAGUAAUACAUCGGAACGUGCCCAGACGUGGGGGGAUAACGAGGCGAAAGCUUUGCUAAUACCGCAUACGAUCUAAGGAUGAAAGCAGGGGACCGCAAGGCCUUGCGCGUUUGGAGCGGCCGAUGGCAGAUUAGGUAGUUGGUGGGAUAAAAGCUUACCAAGCCGACGAUCUGUAGCUGGUCUGAGAGGACGACCAGCCACACUGGGACUGAGACACGGCCCAGACUCCUACGGGAGGCAGCAGUGGGGAACUUUGGACAAUGGGCGAAAGCCUGAUCCAGCAAUGCCGCGUGCAGGAUGAAGGCC